rnacentral:rRNA from 1 species
AUUAUUAAAAUUAAAUAAUUUAAAAUACUAAAGUAGUAUUAGUUAUAUUCUUAAAAUUUAAAGAAUUUGGCGGUGUUUUAGUCUAUUUAGAGGAAUCUGUUCUGUUAUUGAUAAUCCACGUUGGACCUAACUUAAAUUUGUUUUCAAUUUGUAUAUCGCCGUCAUCAGAAUAUAUUAUAAGAUUAAUAAUUUUCUAAAUAUUUUAUUAAAUAAAAUGUCAGGUCAAGGUGCAGUUUAUAUUUAAGUAGAAAUGGAUUACAAUAAAUUUAUUUAUACGGAUAAUUUUUUGAAAUAAAAAUUUGAAGGUGGAUUUAAUAGUAAUAUAAAAGAGAUUGUUUAUAUGAUUAUAGCUCUAAAACAUGC